rnacentral:rRNA from 1 species
AAAGAUUAAGCCAUGCAUGUCUAAGUAUAAGCAAUUAUACUGCGAAACUGCGAAUGGCUCAUUAAAUAAGUUAUCGUUUACUUGAUAGCUGAUUUCUACUUGGAUAACCGUGGUAAUUCUAGAGCUAAUACAUGCUGGAAACCCCGACUUCGGAAGGGGCGUAUUUAUUAGACUAAAAACCAAUGCCCCUUCGGGGGCUUACUGGUGAGUCAUAAUAACUAAACGAAUCGCAGGGCCUAGUGCCGGCGAUGGUUCAUUCAAAUUUCUUCCCUAUCAACUUUCGAUGCGAGGGUCUUGGCCUCGCAUGGUUACAACGGGUAACGGAGGGUUAGGGCUCGGCCCCGGAGAAGGAGCCUGAGAAACGGCUACUACAUCCAAGGAAGGCAGCAGGCGCGCAAAUUACCCAAUCCCGACACGGGGAGGUAGUGACAAUAAAUACUGAUACAGGGCUCUUUUGGGUCUUGUAAUUGGAAUGAGUACAAUUUAAAUCCCUUAACGAGGAACAAUUGGAGGGCAAGUCUGGUGCCAGCAGCCGCGGUAAUUCCAGCUCCAAUAGCGUAUAUUAAAGUUGUUGUGGUUAAAAAGCUCGUAGUUGAACCUUGGGCCUGGCUGGCCGGUCCCCCUCACCGGGUGCACUGAUCCAGCCGGGCCUUUCCCUCUACGGAACCCCAUGGCCUUCACUGGCCGUGGCGGGGAAGUAGGACUUUUACUUUGAAAAAAUUAGAGUGCUCCAGGCAGGCCUAUGCUCGAAUACAUUAGCAUGGAAUAAUGAAAUAGGACGCGUGGUUCUAUUUUGUUGGUUUCUAGGACCGCCGUAAUGAUUAAUAGGGACAGUCGGGGGCAUCAGUAUUCAACUGUCAGAGGUGAAAUUCUUGGAUCAGUUGAAGACUAACUACUGCGAAAGCAUUUGCCAAGGAUGUUUUCAUUGAUAAGGAACGAAAGUUAGGGGAUCGAAGACGAUCAGAUACCGUCGUAGUCUUAACUAUAAACUAUGCCGACUAGGGAUCGGACGAUGUUAUUACUUGACUCGUUCGGCACCUUUCGAGAAAUCAAAGUGCUUGGGCUCCAGGGGGAGUAUGGUCGCAAGGCUGAAA